CACGAACCGUACGAACGUUAUUCGGAAUCACUGGGCUUAAAGAGUUCGUAGGCGGCUUGGUUAGUCAGAUGUGAAAUCCCACGGCUCAACCGUGGAACUGCGUUUGAUACUGCCAAGCUUGAGGAAGACAGGGGUGAGCGGAACUGAUGGUGGAGCGGUGAAAUGCGUUGAUAUCAUCAGGAACACCGGUGGCGAAGGCGGCUCACUGGGUCUUUUCUGACGCUGAGGAACGAAAGCUAGGGGAGCGAACGGG
rnacentral:rRNA from 1 species